GACGUAGGGCGCGAGCGUUGUCCGGAUUUAUUGGGCGUAAAGAGCUCGUAGGCGGCUUGUUGCGUCGACUGUGAAAGCCCGUGGCUUAACCGCGUGGUCUGCAGUCGAUACGGGCAGGCUAGAGUUCGGUAGGGGAGACUGGAAUUCCUGGUGUAGCGGUGAAAUGCGCAGAUAUCAGGAGGAAGACCAGUGGCGAAGGCGGGUCUCUGGACAGUUCCUGACACUGAGACACGAAGGCCAGGGGAGCAAACGGG
rnacentral:rRNA from 1 species